UGGACUCCCUGAAAAAUAAAUAAAGAACGAAACACUUUGAGAGAAGGAGACAAAAAGGAGAUUCAGUGUUUGUCUUUGACUUUGACAUAUUGGGACGUGGCCAGCAGGGGACUGAGCAGAAACAGUUUGUAACAUGGUGUGUAAUAUUCACCUGGCAGGGUCCCCUCGCCCCCGAGGGGGGCUGCUGGUCCUGUUUUCACUCAGCUGCAUGCUGUUCUCGUCUCUGGCAGAGAACACCACAGAUCCGCUGCAGUUCGCAUACAGAUCCAACAGAUCCACAGAGGAUGCCAUCGCCCACGUCCUACACACCACUCUCAGCCACGUGGACAAGAAACAGGGUAACUAUGUGCGAAUGCUGUUUGUUGAUUACAGUUCAGCGUUUAACACAAUAGUGCCCUGCAGACUGUUCACAAAGCUGAGGGAUCUGGGACUUAACAGCCG
ensembl:lncRNA